AGUGAACGCUGGCGGUAGGCCUAACACAUGCAAGUCGAACGGCAGCACAGCAAGAGCUUGCUCUUACGGGUGGCGAGUGGCGGACGGGUGAGGAAUACAUCGGAAUCUACUUUUUCGUGGGGGAUAACGUAGGGAAACUUACGCUAAUACCGCAUACGACCUACGGGUGAAAGCAGGGGAUCUUCGGACCUUGCGCGAUUGAAUGAGCCGAUGUCGGAUUAGCUAGUUGGCGGGGUAAAGGCCCACCAAGGCGACGAUCCGUAGCUGGUCUGAGAGGAUGAUCAGCCACACUGGAACUGAGACACGGUCCAGACUCCUACGGGAGGCAGCAGUGGGGAAUAUUGGACAAUGGGCGCAAGCCUGAUCCAGCCAUACCGCGUGGGUGAAGAAGGCCUUCGGGUUGUAAAGCCCUUUUGCUGGGAAAGAAAAGCAGCAGGUUAAUACCCCGCUGUUCUGACGGUACCCAAAGAAUAAGCACCGGCUAACUUCGUG
rnacentral:rRNA from 1 species